UACGUAGGGGGCGAGCGUUGUCCGGAUUUAUUGGGCGUAAAGAGCGUGUAGGCGGCCAGGUAGGUCUGCUGUGAAAACUCGAGGCUCAACCUCGAGACGUCGGCGGAAACCAUCUGGCUAGAGUCCGGAAGAGGAGAGUGGAAUUCCUGGUGUAGCGGUGAAAUGCGUAGAUAUCAGGAGGAACACCGGUGGUGUAGACGGCUCACUGGACCGUAACUGACGCUGAGACACGAAAGCGUGGGUAGCAAACAGG
rnacentral:rRNA from 1 species